rnacentral:rRNA from 1 species
GAUAUAACACAGAACACCAAUUGCGAAGGCAGCUUACUGGGAUACAACUGACGCUGAGGCACGAAAGCGUGGGGAUCAAACAGGAUUAGAUACCCUGGUAGUCCACGCAGUAAACGAUGAAUACUAACGUAUGCGAUAUACUGUAUGUGGUAAAGCGAAAGCGUUAAGUAUUCCACCGGGGAGUACGUUCGCAAGAAUGAAACUCAAAGGAAUUGACGGGGGCCCGCACAAGCGGAGGAACAUGUGGUUUAAUUCGAUGAUACGCGAGGAACCUUACCCGGGCUUGAAAUGCAGAGGAAUUACGAGGAAACUUGUAUGCCAGCAAUGGUCUCUGUGUAGUGCUGCAGGUUGUCGUCAGCUCGGCCGUGAGUGUCGGCUUAAGUGCCAUAACGAGCGCAACCCCUAUCAUUGUUACUAACAGGUUAAGCGAGACUCUAGUGGACUGCCACCGUAAGUGUGAGGAAGGUGGGAUGACGUCAAAUCGCACGCCCUUACGUCCGGGCGACACACGGUUACAAUGGGGGGUACAGAGGGUUGCUACUUGGUGACAAGAUGCUAAUCUCUUAAGCCUCUCUCAGUUCGGAUCGAAGUCUGCAACUCGACUUCGUGAAGCUGGAUUCGCUAGUAAUCGCGCAUCAGCCAUGGCGCGGUGAAUACGUUCCCGGGCCUUGUACACACCGCCCGUCAAGCCAUGGAAGCCGAGGGGACCUGAAGUACGUAACCGCAAGGAGCGUCCUAGGGUAAAAUUGGUAACUAGG